rnacentral:rRNA from 1 species
UACAGAGGGGGCAAGCGUUGUUCGGAAUUACUGGGCGUAAAGGGCGCGUAGGCGGCCUUCUAAGUCGAACGUGAAAUCCCCGGGCUCAACCCGGGAACUGCGUCCGAUACUGGAAGGCUUGAAUCCGGGAGAGGGAUGCGGAAUUCCAGGUGUAGCGGUGAAAUGCGUAGAUAUCUGGAGGAACACCGGUGGCGAAGGCGGCCAACUGGCCCGACCCUGACGCUGAGGCGCGAAGGCGUGGGGAGCGAACGGG